rnacentral:lncRNA from 1 species
UUUUUUAUGUAAAAUCCAUUCACUUUUUUUUUUAAUCUAUUUUUUUAAACUUAUAUGACAUUUUUCUCGUUGAUUUGAAAAUGUAUUCAUGUCAAGUUAUUCGAAGAAAUAUUAAUGUUGUUAAGCCUAGUAUUCAUUAUUAUUAUUUUGGGUUUUUAUCACAAAGUAUCCAAUUUACAUGAUCCUGCAAAUAAAGCACCACAAGCAUGGUUGAAAAAAAAUUAAACAAAAAUUAAAAAUAAAUCGUCGCCUGAGAGGUUCGAACUCUCGCGGGGAAUCCCCAUGCACUUAGCAAGCACACGCCUUAACCACUCGGCCAAAGCGACUAUUGAUGACAUAGGAGGCUACUGAUCUUUUUUAAUUAACUAUUUAAUUAAACAAAAAUUAAAAUAAAUAGCCACCUGAGAUGUGAGGCUGACUUUUGCUGGGUUUCUCUUAUUCAUUUUUCGAGUAAAUUACAUUUUAUUCUCUCAGAUUUGUGGUCAAUUGCAACGACAUACAAUAUUUUUGAAACAUUUUAAUCACAUACCUUUACUUACUAUUUCAUUUCAACUUCAUACAUUCAUUAGUUAAUUCGUUAAUUUGACUGUUAAGUGAAGAUGUGUCAACUAUGGAUCCCACCUUUUUGCUGAUAUGACAAUCACCUUUUUUUAUGUAAAAUCCAUUCACUUUUUUUUAAUCUAUUUUUUAAAACUUAUAUGCCAUUUUUCUCAUUGAUUUGAAAAUGUAUUCAUGUCAAGUUAUUCGAAGAAAUAUUAAUGUUGUUAAGCCUAGUAUUCAUUAUUAGGUUUUUAUCACAAAUGAUCCCUGAAAUUGAACCACUCAAUCAAGAUAGUCUCUUAAAUUAAAAAUCAGUAAAUGUAGUUCUUGAAAAUAGGUGUCGCAAAUCAAUGUAGUCAUUCCGUCACAACUCCGUUAAAUAUUCUAUUAUGUGAUGAUGUAUCGCUUAGCUGGGUCCCACAAAUAUAAUUGAAUAUUGUCAAAUAAACUAAAAAUAUUUAAAUAAUGAAAUAAUAAUUUUUAUUUUGUAUAAUUAAAAACUUCCAAAAAAAAAAAAAAAUCAUCAUCUUCCCAUCGUGAUACUCCAAACAAUCCAGUCGGGCGUGCAACUCUUGAGGAGCUCAGCGCCGCCUAGCCAAACCCCGAAAAUCCGAUCAAUUGCCUCCCUUUGCAGGUGGCUUUGCACUCUAGGAAAUUUUUGGAAAAAGUUUUAGAUGGGCAGUGCGAGGGAGCGGUAUAGUAGCAGAGACUGGAGCUUUGCUGUAUGUGUACCCAAAGUCGUGCUGGAGAACAAGCUGGGUGCAGGGCUUGGUUUUGGAGAGUUCUAUGGGUUUGUGUUAUUCAAAGAAGAGAGUUGGUGCGCGCGGCGUCGUUUUGAGGGGUGGGCUGGGAGAGGAGCUUCGAUCUGGGUAUUUUGCAGAAAAGGUAGUGACCCAAGUUUCAUUAAGACUUGAAUAUGAAUUUGCAAAACACUUGCACGGCCGACUGGGAUUUUUUGGUGUGUGAAGACGGGAAGAAGAUGACCAUCAUCUUUUUUAUUCUUAUCCUUUUUUUUUAAUUCUUAAUUAUAAAAAAUAAAAUUUGUUAUUUUAUUAUUUAAAUAUUUUUUUAUUCAUAUAACAAUAAUUAAUUAUAUUUAUGGGACCCAGUUAAAUGUCACAUCAUCAUAUAACAGAAUAUUUAACAAAGUUAUCACAGAAGAACUACAUUGAUUUGUGACAUCCAUUUUUAGGAAUUACAUUGAUUGAUUUUCAAUUUCAGAGAACAUUUUGAUGGGGUGGGUUAAUUUCAGAAAUCAUUUAUGAUAAAAACCCUAUUAUUUUUUGUAGUUUUGGAGAAUGUACACAUGUUUCGGUUUGAAAAUUUACCAAACGUUUUAUGGUACAGUGACUUUUGGUUAAUAUUGAUGAAUGUACCCAUGUUUCGGUUUGAAGAAUUUACCAAACGUUUUAUGGUACAGUGACUUUUGGUUAUUCUUAUCCUUUUUUUUUUAAUUCUUAAUUAUAAAAAAUUAAAAUUGUUAUUUUAUUAUUUAAAUAUUUUUUAAUUCAUAUAACAAUAUUUAAUUAUAUUUGUGGGACCCAGUUAAGUGUCACAUCAUCACAUAACAUAAUAGUUAACAAAGUUAUCACAGAAUGACUACAUUGAUUUGUGACAUCCAUUUUCAAUGAUUAUAUUCAUUGAUUUUCAAUUUCAUGGACCAUCUUGAUGGGAUAGGUUAAUUUCAGGGAUCAUUUGUGAUAAAAACCUUAUUAUUUUUUGUGGUUUUGAAGAAUGUACCCAUGUUUCAGUUUGAAGAAUUUACCAAACAUUUUAUGGUAUAGUAACUUUUGGUUAAUAUUGAUGAAUGCAUUAUAUAUAUGUACACAAUAUGUUUUACAAUAUGUGUGUACAUACUUUUUAUGGUAUAGUAACUUUUGGUUUUGAAGAAUGUACCCAUGUUUCAGUUUGAAGAAUUUACCAAAGGUUUUAUGGUACAACAACUUUUGGUUAAUAUUGAUGAAUGUACUAUAUAUAUGUACAAUGUAUUUUACAAUAUGUGUGUACGUACCUUUUAUGGUAAAACAUGAUUUUCUACAUCGCCAACAUUGUCUCAUCAUCCUAUCAUGAGACGUUUGGUUCUUUUUACUUUUAGUUUCUUGUUAAGUUUUUGGACAAUGAUAAAAAAGCUUUGCAUGGCCACGUUGUGAAUUUACGUAAUCCCUACAAAUAUUGACUAUUCCAAUUUACAUGAUCCUACAGAUAGAGCACCACAAGCAUGGCCAAAAAAAAAUUAAACAAAAAUUAAAAAUAAAUCGCCGCCUAAGAGGUUCAAACUCUUGCGGGGGAUCCUCAUGCACUUAGCAAGCACAUGCCUUAAUCACUCGGCCAAGGCAACUAUUGAUGACAUAGGAGGCUACUCAUUUUUUUAAUUAACUAUUAUUAUUAUUAUUCGUGGUUCUAAAGAAUGUACCCAUAUUUUGGGUUUUAAGAAUUUACCAAACGUUUUAUGGUUAAGUGACUUUUGGUUAAUAUUGAUGAAUGUAAUAUAUGUACACAAUAUGUUCUAUAAUAUGUGUGUACAUACUUUUAUGGCAAAACAUGAUUUUCUACAUUGGCAACAUUGUCUCAUCAUCCUAUCAUGAGACGUUUGGUUCUUUUUACAUUUAGUUUCUUAAGUUUUUUUACAACAAUAAAAAAAAAAAACUUUGUAUGGCCACGUUGCGAACAUAACGUAUACUCCCUACAAAUAUUGGCCGUUCCAAAUUACAUGAUCCUGCAAAUAGAGCACCACAAGCAUGGCCAAAAAAAAUUAAACAAAAAUUAAAAAUAACCAUCGUCUGAGAGGUUCGUGACACACCCCGUCCCGAAGGAGGGCAUGCUGGCCGUCACGUGAGAGUGACGUAACCAUUUGCACAGUACGGAAGCUUUAAGAUACAAUUUAUAAGUUGAUACACCCGAAGGUGAGUCCUAAUUUUGUCCAAUCUGUCAGAACACCGUCGAAUUCCUCGUAGUCACCACACCUUUGUGAUUCCUGAACCUGGAGGGGCGCAAAACCAAAAUUGAGUGGGUCAGUAAAACAAUUCUUUUCCAAAUCCAAACAUUUCUCAAAACGUUGUAACCCCUCUCCGUAAAACCUGUAUACUUUCCCAGAAAUGUAAAAUAUAAAUAUACAUAUAUAUUCUCAAUACUUCAAUUCAUUAACUCAACAUUUUUUUCUUUAUCAAUCAUGCCAUGCCAUGUCUAAUUCAACAACAGUUAAGUAUGGAUGCAUCAACAAUAAUCAUAUCAGGUGCAAGAAAGUAAUCAACCGGAGGCCCUCUAAUAGCCCUGUACGGUUGAACCUAGAGCUCAAAUUCUAUCACUCACUCUCACUCUACCGGAGUCACCUCUGUGACCUGUCCGGCCUUCUGCACACAAGUUACGCUCUAGUGCUUUUCUCAUCAAUCAUCUGUGCACAUAAUCUAAGGUCACCCACCAGUCGAAAUCUCACUAACACUCUUCGACUGGCCCGUCGCACCCACUCCGCGUGGACUGUGCGACCAGCAUCUACUUGGAUCCAAGGCGAGCGUGCGAUGCGGUGAAUACUAUAAGCACUAAACCAUGGUGCAGGAUUUGAGCUCAAUAUACAUCAACAUCAUCAUAACAAUAUUUAAAUACUCACCUGUGCGUCCGCCGCACCAUUCAUUCAUAUGCAUCAUAUCUCAAUUUCAUACUUUUCAUAUCAUUUCAUGCAUGGCAAUUCGAUUCACAUUUCUAUAUACUUUUCAUAUACUUUUAUGCAUGGCAUCUCAAUUCACAUUUCAAUAUCCUUUCAUAUAAUUUUAUACAUUGCAUUUAAAGCAUACUUUUAUUAAAUUUCAAUUUCUGGGAAAACGUCAAGUAUAUAUAUAUACGGAAAACAAAACUGCCCACUCACCUGGAGUUCGUCCAACAACUCCCUAGCACCACACAUCAAGGCGUCAUGACGAUCGCCACCUAGAAUAGUAAUCAAAUCCAGGCUCAGAAUUCAUAUCGAUAAAAUAUAUAACUUAUAUAAAAUACGUCACUACGUUGAUCGAUCCGGAAGAUCUGCCACUCAGAUUUUAAAUCCAUAACUUCCAGAGGUCCACAUUAUACCUCUAGGACAACAUCCUAAAAUUUCAUUACCAUCCAACGGUCGGAUCUCCGUCAAUUUCCAAAACUAAGUGACGGUUAACAUUUUAUAUUAUGGACUUACAAUUCCAAUUCCGGAAGAUCCGUAACUCGGAUUCCCAAUCCGUAAGUUCCAAUAAUCCUCAAAUAUUACGUAUUACAACGUAUCAAAGUUUGGUGACGAUCCAACGGUCGGAUCAUCAAUUCACAUUUUCACCUAAAUGUGAAAACUAUAAAACGUUAUUUGAACACCUAACCAACAAUCCUUAAUAACUUUCUCAUACGGUGUUCAAUUUAGGUAUAAGAAUAUACCACAGUGAUCUACUCGACGUCACGGACGUCGACGUAUUUUUAAAAUAAUUUUAUUUUUAUUUUUUAUUUUUACUGUAGCACCUUCUUCUUCCUUGGGUCGCCGGACUGGUUUUUCCGGCGGCCGUUUUCUGGGCAGUUUUUCAAAUUGCCAUAACUUUGUCAUUUCUCAACGAAAUCAAGUGAUUCAAAAACGAAAGUUGUAGCCCUUGAAGAGAAAAAGAGAAUGGUACCUUGAAAAACACCUAUUUCCCCGUGGUUUGGCCGGAAACUGCCUCGAAAGCCUCGGAGGUCGCCGGAACCUGGGUAUUUUUCAAAUGAGUAUAACUUCUUCAAUACUCAACUAAAUUGAGUGAAACAAAAAGGAAAGUUGUAGUACUUGACGAGACGAAGAGAUUGAUACCUACCUCGACUCCUAACUCUCCGGGGAUUCGCCGGAAAACGCCUCGAAAGCUCCGGCCAAACUUUGAACUUGUCGAUCUCCGUGUUCUUACGUCCAAAAACUUCCAACGAAGCACUCCGAGCUUCCUUGGGACCUCACUAAGCUUGCUAUGAUCUUAGUUUGGCCUAAAACACAACCACUUCAAAGAUCAUGAACAGUACACAUUCACGGGGUCUUUAGAACUAGGGUUUUUCGAAAUGAAACUUACCUGAAAAUGGUACCUACGUGAUCGUGAAGUCCUCAGGGUUGCAAUGGUAGUCUUAACUUGGACGUUGGUAUAGGUUUUAGGUGGUUUUGGUGGUUGCCCGUGCGUUCGAGAAGAAGAGAGAGAGUGAGAGUUUCUGAGGAAGAGCUGAGGAAGAGAGAGAGAGUGAUUGAGGAGAUGAGAGAGAGACAACAAACGGGAAAUGGGGAGGGAUUUAGGGUGUAGGACCCUACCUAAAGUCCAAACACAAAAUUAUUAGUCCAAGUUUAAGUUUAAUUAACAAUAGCUUAGGAAUUUUAGGUAAAACCAAUACCAAAAUUACGCACCUUAAUCCCGUUUAAGGGCAUUUUCGUCUUUUCACGUCCUCGGAAUUAAAAUUCCAGGACGGGCUGUGACAGUUCGAACUCUCGAAAGGGAUUUCCAAAUUACAUGAUCUUGCAAAUAGAGCACCACAAGCAUGGCCGAAAAAAAAAUUAAACAAAAAUUAAAAAUAAAUCACGAAAGGGAUUUCCAAAUUACAUGAUCUUGCAAAUAGAGCACCACAAGCAUGGCCGAAAAAAAAAUUAAACAAAAAUUAAAAAUAAAUCAUCGUUUGAGAGGUUCGAACUCUCGCAAGGGAUCCCCAUGCACUUAGCAAGCACACGUCUUAACCACUCGGCCAAAUCAACUGUUGAUGACAUAGGAGGCUACUCAUCUUUUUUUAAUUAACUAUUUAAUUAAACAAAAAUAAAAAACAAAUUGCCGUCUGAGAUAUGAGGCUAGCGUUUGAUGGGUUUCUCUUAUUCAUUUUCGAGUAAAUUACAUUUUAUUCCCUCAGGUUUGUGGUCAAUCGCAACCUCAUACAAUAUUUUUGAAACAUUGUAAUCACAUACCUUUACUUACUAUUUCAUUUCAACUUCAUACAUCCAUUAGUUAUUUUGUUAAUUUGAGCAUUAAGUGAUGAAGUGUCAACUAUGGAUCCCACCUUUUUGCUGGUAUGACAGUCAAAUUUGUCUACAUUGAUUAAAAAAUAAAUUAUAAAUAAAAAAUUGGGCCCCACCCCUUAAAUCUUAGUUUGCAGCUAUUCCAGAAUCCAACUAAUUCUUACCAAAAAACACUGAUUGUGGCUGUUGCCAUGACCAUGACAUCAAUUCCAGUUGAUUUUCAAUUUUUUAUUCUCUUAAACAUACCCAUUUGUAUAAUUUUUCAAUUUUUUUUAAAUAUACCAAUUGUGAUAUGUAAAAUAUACCAAUUUCUUUUAAUGUAAAACAUACCCAUUUUUUAUGUAAAAUCCAUUCACUUUUUUUUUAAUCUAUUUUUUAAAACUUAUAUGGGUGCAUUUUUUUCGUUGAUUUGAAAAUGUAUUCAUGUCAAGUUAUUCAAAGAAAUUUAUUAAUGUUAUUAAGCUAGUAUUCAUUAUUAUUAUUUUUCAUAGUUUUGAAGAAUGUACCCAUGUUUUCAGUUUGAAGAAUUUACCAAACGUUUUAUGGUACAGUAACUUUUGGUUAAUAUUGAUGAAAGUAUUAUAUAUAUGUACACAAUGUGUUUUACAAUAUGCGUGUACAUACUUUUUAUGGCAAAACAUGAUUUUCUACAUCAGCAGCAUUGUCUCAUCAUCCUAUCAUGAGACGUUUGGUUCUUUUUACUUUUAGUUUCUUGUUAAGUUUUUGGACAAUGAUAAAAAAGCUUUGCAUGGCCACGUUGUGAAUGUAACGUAAUCCCUACAAAUAUUGACCAUUCCAAUUUACAUGAUCAUGCAGAUAGAGCACCACAAGCAUGGCCAAAAACAAUUAAACAAAAAUUAAAAAUAAAUCGUCGCCUGAGAGGUUCGAACUCUCGCGGGGGAUCCCCAUGCACUUAGCAAGCACACGCCUUAACCACUCGGCCAAAGCGACUGUUGAUGACAUAGGAGGCUACUGAUCUUUUUUAAUUAAUUAUUUAAUUAAUCAAAGUCUUUGUUUCUAAAUAAGGAUCCUCUUCGGAUCCUCAG